UACGUAGGGUGCAAGCGUUAAUCGGAAUACUGGGCGUAAGGCGUGCGCAGGCGGUGAUGUAAGACAGAUGUGAAAUCCCCGGGCUCAACCUGGGAACUGCAUUUGUGACUGCAUCGCUGGAGUGCGGCAGAGGGGGAUGGAAUUCCGCGUGUAGCAGUGAAAUGCGUAGAUAUGCGGAGGAACACCGAUGGCGAAGGCAAUCCCCUGGGCCUGCACUGACGCUCAUGCACGAAAGCGUGGGGAGCAAACAGG
rnacentral:rRNA from 1 species